UAACUGGGUGCUUGUAGAACUGGUGACCUUAGUGUGGUGUGCGUUUAAAGAGGUUCUGAACCACCGUGCUCGGUGAAAAAACACCUACAUCAAAAAGCAGAUGCUGCUGUGAACAGUUCACUCAAAUCUUGCUGUCAUGCACACGAGGGAGAGUUCACAAGCUGAGAAAGAAGUUGCCACAUCCUCAAGCCUGCUCUUUCCUACAGAGAUCUGUACACUAUACUGUUGCACAGCAGAUCUUUCAUCACACUUUUAUCACUGGGAUUGCUGAUAGCUGAAAUAAACCAAGAACGGCAUUUGGAUCAGAUGCGCUUCUUGACAUUGGUACCACCAUGUGCUAGGUAUAGGUAGGCUUCAUGAUCUAUAUUGAAAAAUUACCAAGUAGUGGCGCUAGCGCACAUUAUGUGCUCACAAACUGGUGACAUGAGCAAACGUAGCUUUUCUUCCCUUUGUGACCACUCCCCUGCUCGGUAUACUAGCUUCCAGUACACUCAGCAACAAAUGAAGAGGGCAGACUUUUCAAGUAUGUAAAAAAAAAUUUCUUGUGUACCUCUGUUUGAAAAUUGAAAAACUUUUUUGUGGUAAUUUAUUGGUGAAGAAAUAAACUUUAAUAGGUCAAUUGUUAAUUACUUGGCAAAAUGGUUCAGGACAUUUUUAGGCAAAUAGUAAAUAUAUAUUAAGCAUGCAAAUGUUCUGAUGGUUGGACAUGAACUUAGAGCCUUUACAAACCAAGCACUUAGCAAUACUUGGCACAAUUUUCGGAAUACUAAUGGGUUCAUAAAAUUUCCUCUUGCUAGGCUUGGCUCGCUCACUUGGCAUCUGUUGAUCUGCUUCGGCUGUCUGCACAAUGCUGUAGUGAUUGUAGUGUUUUCCUUCUGUCUCAUUUUGCACAUAGAUCACUGAGCUGUGAGGGCUACGCCACCCGUUCUAUCGCCCAACAUAGUGCUAAUGCAUUUCUCUCGUAUUAUUCACGAAAUCAACGCUGAAUUUUUUCUGUAAACAAAAAAAAUUGUUCUUUUUUUCCACAACUACCCUAAGCCAACACUUGGUGAAUCCAGGAAAGGUGUGGGGUUUAUUAGCAUUAGUGUUUGCUAGCAUGGCAUAUUUUUGUCAAUUUAGGGGCAUUGGCUAAUUCCUUUUGGGUUAUGUUGAGUCUAGAUGGAUGGCUACUGUGAUAGCCACUGUGGUAGUGAAUCAGCCGUGGAUUUGACAAAUUGCAAGUAGUGGCGUUGUAUAUUCCACGUGACGAAUUCGAAGUAAUAAUUGAAAGCUUGACAGUAACAUAGAUUUCCAGCUCUGAUGUUGCCAGUGGCUAAGGUA